rnacentral:rRNA from 1 species
GAUGAACGCUGGCGGCGUGCUUAACACAUGCAAGUCGAACGAAGCACUUUAUUUGAUUUCCUUCGGGACUGAUUAUUUUGUGACUGAGUGGCGGACGGGUGAGUAACGCGUGGGUAACCUGCCUUGUACAGGGGGAUAACAGUUGGAAACGGCUGCUAAUACCGCAUAAGCGCACAGCAUCGCAUGAUGCAGUGUGAAAAACUCCGGUGGUAUAAGAUGGACCCGCGUUGGAUUAGCUAGUUGGUGAGGUAACGGCCCACCAAGGCGACGAUCCAUAGCCGACCUGAGAGGGUGACCGGCCACAUUGGGACUGAGACACGGCCCAAACUCCUACGGGAGGCAGCAGUGGGGAAUAUUGCACAAUGGGCGAAAGCCUGAUGCAGCGACGCCGCGUGAGCGAAGAAGUAUUUCGGUAUGUAAAGCUCUAUCAGCAGGGAAGAUAAUGACGGUACCUGACGAAGAAGCACCGGCUAAAUACGUG